AUACUGCUGAGGAGUCCCACAAUAGGACAGAACGGCCGUCCGGUGU
rnacentral:hammerhead_ribozyme from 1 species